rnacentral:rRNA from 1 species
AACGCUAGCUACAGGCUUAACACAUGCAAGUCGAGGGGCAGCAUGAACUUAGCUUGCUAAGUUUGAUGGCGACCGGCGCACGGGUGAGUAACACGUAUCCAACCUGCCGAUGACUCGGGGAUAGCCUUUCGAAAGAAAGAUUAAUACCCGAUGGCAUAGUUCUUCCGCAUGGUAGAACUAUUAAAGAAUUUCGGUCAUCGAUGGGGAUGCGUUCCAUUAGGUUGUUGGCGGGGUAACGGCCCACCAAGCCUUCGAUGGAUAGGGGUUCUGAGAGGAAGGUCCCCCACAUUGGAACUGAGACACGGUCCAAACUCCUACGGGAGGCAGCAGUGAGGAAUAUUGGUCAAUGGACGAGAGUCUGAACCAGCCAAGUAGCGUGAAGGAUGACUGCCCUAUGGGUUGUAAACUUCUUUUAUACGGGAAUAAAGUGAGGCACGCGUGCCUUUUUGUAUGUACCGUAUGAAUAAGGAUCGGCUAACUCCGUGCCAGCAGCCGCGGUAAUACGGAGGAUCCGAGCGUUAUCCGGAUUUAUUGGGUUUAAAGGGAGCGUAGGCGGACGCUUAAGUCAGUUGUGAAAGUUUGCGGCUCAACCGUAAAAUUGCAGUUGAUACUGGGUGUCUUGAGUACAGUAGAGGCAGGCGGAAUUCGUGGUGUAGCGGUGAAAUGCUUAGAUAUCACGAAGAACUCCGAUUG